rnacentral:rRNA from 1 species
UACGGAGGGGGCUAGCGUUGUUCGGAUUCACUGGGUUUAAAGGGAGCGUAGGUGGGCAGGUAAGUCAGUGGUGAAAUCUCCGGGCUUAACCCGGAAACUGCCAUUGAUACUAUUUGUCUUGAAUUAUCUGGAGGUAAGCGGAAUAUGUCAUGUAGCGGUGAAAUGCUUAGAUAUGACAUAGAACACCGAUUGCGAAGGCAGCUUACUACGGAUAAAUUGACACUGAGGCUCGAAAGCGUGGGGAUCAAACAGG